AGACCCGAAACCCGGUGAUCUAGCCAUGGGCAGGUUGAAGGUUGGGUAACACUAACUGGAGGACCGAACCGACUAAUGUUGAAAAAUUAGCGGAUGACCUGUGGCUGGGGGUGAAAGGCCAAUCAAACCGGGAGAUAGCUGGUUCUCCCCGAAAGCUAUUUAGGUAGCGCCUCGUGAAUUCAUCUCCGGGGGUAGAGCACUGUUUCGGCUAGGGGGCCAUCCCGGCUUACCAACCCGAUGCAAACUGCGAAUACCGGAGAAUGUUAUCACGGGAGACACACGGCGGGUGCUAACGUCCGUCGUGAAGAGGGAAACAACCCAGACCGCCAGCUAAGGUCCCAAAGUCAUGGUUAAGUGGGAAACGAUGUGGGAAGGCCCAGACAGCCAGGAUGUUGGCUUAGAAGCAGCCAUCAUUUAAAGAAAGCGUAAUAGCUCACUGGUCGAGUCGGCCUGCGCGGAAGAUGUAACGGGGCUAAACCAUGCACCGAAGCUGCGGCAGCGAACGUAUCACUUAAAGCGAUUCAGCGGG
rnacentral:rRNA from 1 species